rnacentral:tRNA from 1 species
AAAGAAUUAGUUAAAAUAUAACAUUAGAAUGUCAAACUAAAAUUAUUAAUCAUAUUAAUAUUCUUUA